CUGCGGCCUAUCAGCUUGUUGGUGGGGUAAUGGCCCACCAAGGCGAUUACAGGUACGGGCUCUGAGAGGAGAAGCCCGGAGAUGGGUACUGAGACACGGACCCAGGCCCUAUGGGGCGCAGCAGGCGAGAAAACUUUGCAAUGUGCGAAAGCACGACAAGGUUAGUCCGAGUGAUUUCUGCUAAAGAAAUCUUUUGCAAGUCAUAAAACCACUAGCGAAUAAGGGGUGGGCAAGUUCUGGUGUCAGCCGCCGCGGUAAAACCAGCACCUCAAGUGGUCAGGAGGAUUAUUGGGCCUAAAGCAUCCGUAGCCGGCUUUGUUAGUUUUCGGUUAAAUCCAUGCGCUCAACGUAUGGGCUGCCGAGAAUACUGCAUAGCUAGGGAGUGGGAGAGGUAGACGGUACUCGGUAGGAAGGGGUAAAAUCCUUUGAUCUAUCGAUGACCACCUGUGGCGAAGGCGGUCUACCAGAACACGU
rnacentral:rRNA from 2 species